AGAACAGCCCCCUUCAUUUCCGAUGAACAAACACAGGGCUGAACGAAAUCUCUAUAUGACACGUGACACGAUGGAAAAGCUUUCCUGCCCGAACUUUGAAAAAUCAUGGUACAAUCUUUUCACUUUUCUUACUUCACAAACACAACUAACUUGACAAAUUCGUCGAUAAAAUAAUAGUGUGAAGGAAGGGGACUCAUCCGCUAAACCUUUUCCGAAUGUUCAUAUCUUCAGUAGAUAGACGAUUGUUGCAAGGAUUUCGUAAAUUUUUAAGAGACAUCGUUGAAUCUUAAUGAAAUCCUGUGGACAAGGUUCAAGCUUAUGAACUGUGUGCAUCAACUUGUAUGUUCUCGUCGGGCGCCAAU